rnacentral:rRNA from 1 species
GGACACAGCCAUAUCACCCUGCAGCCCAAGACCAGUUACUCACUGAAGCUAAGCAGGGCUGAGCCUGGUCAGUACCUGGAUGGGAGACCACAUGGGAACACUAGGUUGCUGUUGGAA